rnacentral:lncRNA from 1 species
GUGAGCUAAAAGGACGCUUUUGUCAGAGUGGGGAAAUAAAAGGGCUUUAUGGGAAGGAAGAUAAGAACAGAUGAGUCAGAGGUUUCUGCUUAAUGGUGGUACAGCCAAGCAGACAGGCAAGUAAGUGGCCAUACUGCUACUGCCUCAUGUAGGAUCCGGCAGGCUGGUGGGUUAUCAGUCCUCACGUGGGACCCUCCCACCAUGGCAGCUGAGCACAUCCAAGCUGGGGGAUCCUGAAGAGACCUUCACCUGGGUGCCACGUGGAAGAUUGGCCAGCACCAUUUUGACUCCUGUGGAUGGGAAACCCUGGAACAGUGUCUAUAAGUCAUGAAAAACAGAGCAAUUGAAAUGGAAUCUCACUUGGGACCCCAGUCACUGCUCCAGACUGACCAGUCAGUGGACAAGGCUUCUCGCAUUGCUCACCAGCACCCAAACUGCACCUGGUCACCUGUCUACAUUCAGAUUUAGAUGAAAGCCACACCAUGGAGGCAGCCAGAGGCCCAUGGGAGAUGUCUGGAUUCGCAGAGGAAUAGCUCCAUGUGAUGCAAACCUUGACUAAUGGGAACAGGAAAAGGGAGGAAACCAGGAAGAUAAAUCUCCCUCCCUUCUCAUUG